UAAAAAAUUAUCUAUUUUAGGUAGUAACAGAUUUCUUGAAACCUAAAGAAUUUGGCGGUAUUUUAAAUAAUUAGAGGAACCUGUUAAAUAAAUGAUAAUCCACAACAUAUCUUACCUAAAUUUAGUUUGUAUACCGUUGUUUUUAGAUUAUGUUUUAAAAUUAUGAUCAAAAUUAAUUAAUUUUUAUAAAUCAAAUCAAGGUGCAGCAUAGUUAGGUCUUAAUGGGUUACAAUAUAUUUUUAAUAUAUAACGGAUGAACUAUGAAAAUAUUUUUGAAGGUGGAUUUAAAAGUAAUUUGAAAUUAAAAUGUUCAGGUGAAUAAAAAUUUAAAAUAUGC
rnacentral:rRNA from 1 species